AAAGUGAAUACGACUUUCUGCUCUAAUGUAAACGCCUGCAGUUGUCCAUAUCGACAUUUAAAUCAUACAAAUUACGUACAAUAUAGUCGGACCGCAGGUCUAAAAGAACCGACGACCCAGUUCAAGUAAACCGGUUCAGUAAUUCUCGAACAAAGUGAUUCCCGGAAAAGAAUCGACGUCUCAGGGCAUUUCAAAGUGCGCGCACGCACAGCGAGUGACGCUGGCCGCGUUAGUGAAGUGAUUUGAUGCUUUUGUGGUUUAUAAAGUCUUUUUACAUACAAAUUAUAAUUCAAAAUGUGUUUUUUUUCCUGUCAGAAAAGCGCAUGGAUACAUUUGUGAGAGAAAAACUCGUCGAGUGCAGUCUUAUUGAGGCGUCUAACGGUUGGAACAAACAUGGAAUUCCUUAACUGAGCAGAGUCCACAAAACCCCAUCCAAUUGUCGUGGUGAUUUAAAAAUGCCAGCAGAUCUCUCAGGCAUUGAUCAUAAUCAAUGGACAGGUCACCGUAGCCACCCGUAUCCAGUACGUAUCCAGACCAGAUGGAGAUCAUCAUCUAGAAAGGACCUCUACAUCCCUGAAAGACAGCGGAGACCAGGACAACUAGAGCCCCAGAUACAGAUCCCCUGUAAAGACCUUGUCUCAGAGGACCACCAGGACAAGACCACAGGAAACAGAUGAUUCUUCUGCACAAUCUGACUUUGCUGCAGCCUGGAAUUGAACUACUGGUUUCGUCUGGUCAGAGGAGAACUGACCCCAACUGAGCCUGGUUUCUCCCAAGGUUUUUUUCUCCAUUCUGUCACCGAUGGAGUUUUGGUUCCUUGUUUUUCUUUAGUUGAGGACAAUUAAUACCAAGCGAUAUCAUUCACUUGAUUGCACAGAGGGACGAUACAUCAAUGAAUCAAUGACGAAUUGACUUUAACUGAAAACUGAGUGUUUACUUUUGUCCCUUUGCAUUAUUACACACUAUUUUCCUAUUUAAUACUGUAAAGCUGCUAUGAUGCAGUAUUUGAUCAAUAUGAGAGGCUUAUUACUCAUAAUACAUGGAAAAUACAGCUACAAACUGACUUUGUUUUUCCAUUUGAAAUUUGGCAGUCACUGUGCAUUCAUGAAAACUGAAACCGUAAUUUUUGUUCAGUGUUUUUGAAACAGUGUUUUUGUUCAAGAUUUGCAAUUGUGUUUGGAUUGUCACAAUUUGUCACAUGUGGAAAACGCAAUUGAAAAUAUGAUUAGCAAUUCCUUUUGAAAAUUGUCCUUCCAUAGACAGGCUCUAUAACGGAGUACACUGCUCUCAGGUGUAGAUCUUUGCUUCAGAGCUUAAGUGUUUGACAAUAGUUCACCCAAAAAUGAAAAUUGUCACUAAUUAUUCACCCUGGUCUGAAAGCUCUCGAAUAUCAACGAAAAUAUCUUAACUUGUGUUCUGAAGAUUGACUAAGGGCUUACGGGUUUAUAACGACAUGAAGUUGAGUAAUAAAUGACAGAAUUUUCAUUUUUGGGUGAACUAUAUGUUGAACUACACUAAGCAGUGCACAUCUACCUACGUAGGAGUCUUUAUAUACUUGAUAUCAAUUUAAGGACAUCUUUAAAUGAUUUUACAUUUAAAUUUAAAGAAUGUUAAUUGUCAAUGUCAUUUCACUGUGUAUUUAAAUAGCUAAAAAUCUCAAAAUGUAAUAGUUAAACAGCUAGACAGAGGUCAUUCAGAAA